rnacentral:rRNA from 1 species
AUUGAACGCUGGCGGCAGGCCUAACACAUGCAAGUCGAGCGGCAGCGGGAAAGUAGCUUGCUACUUUUGCCGGCGAGCGGCGGACGGGUGAGUAAUGCCUGGGAAAUUGCCCAGUCGAGGGGGAUAACAGUUGGAAACGACUGCUAAUACCGCAUACGCCCUACGGGGGAAAGCAGGGGCCCUUCGGGCCUUGCGCGAUUGGAUAUGCCCAGGUGGGAUUAGCUAGUUGGUGAGGUAAUGGCUCACCAAGGCGACGAUCCCUAGCUGGUCUGAGAGGAUGAUCAGCCACACUGGAACUGAGACACGGUCCAGACUCCUACGGGAGGCAGCAGUGGGGAAUAUUGCACAAUGGGGGAAACCCUGAUGCAGCCAUGCCGCGUGUGUGAAGAAGGCCUUCGGGUCGUAAAGCACUUUCAGCGAGGAGGAAAGGUCAGUAGCUAAUAUCUGCUGGCUGUGAUGUUACUCGCAGAAGAAGCACCGGCUAACUCCGUGCCAGCCGCCGCGGUAAUAC